rnacentral:rRNA from 5 species
ACUCAUCCGAGGCCCCGUAAUCGGAAUGAGAACACUCUAAAUCCUUUAACGAUGAUCUAUUGGAGGGCAAGCCUGGUGCCAGCAGCCGCGGUAAUUCCAGCUCCAAUAGCGUAUAUUAAAGUUGUUGCGGUUAAAAAGCUCGUAGUUGGUUCUGCGUGCCACGCUGUCGGUUCACCGCCUGCCGGUGCAACUGGCAUGCCGUGGCAUGUCCUGUCGGUGGCGGAUAGGCCUCCCGGCGUGCCCUAUGCGGUAUACCAGCGUGUAGGCUGCUGCGCCGGGGGUGUCCUUGUACGCCGACUCAAUCCUACCGCGGUGCUCUUUACCGAGUGUCGAGGUAGGCCGACACUGUUUACUUUGAACAAAUUAGAGUGCUUCAAGCAGGCUCUUAAAUCAGCCUGAAUAGUGGUGCAUGGAAUAAUGGAACAGGACCUUGGUUCUAUUUUGUUGGUUUCCGGAAUCCAAGGUAAUGAUCAAUAAGGACAGGCGGGGGCAUUCGUAUUGCGACGUUAGAGGUGAAAUUCUUGGAUCGUCGCAAGACGCACUAAAGCGAAAGCAUUUGCCAAGUAUGUCUUAAUUGAUCAAGAACGAAAGUUAGAGGUUCGAAGGCGAUCAGAUACCGCCCUAGUUCUAACCAUAAACGAUGCCAGCCAGCGAUCCGCCGACGUUCCUCCGAUGACUCGGCGGGGAGCUUUCCCCGGGAAACCAAAGCUUUUGGGUUCCGGGGGAAGUAUGGUUGCAAAGCUGAAACUUAAAGGAAUUG